UAUUAAAGGCAACGCCUGCCCAGUGAAUAAUUAAACGGCCGCGGUACCCUAACCGUGCAAAGGUAGCGCAAUCACUUGUCUAUUAAUUGUAGACCCGUAUGAAAGGCACAAUGAGGGUCUAACUGUCUCUUUUAGUUAAUCAAUUAAACUGAUCUCCCAGUCCAAAAGCUGGGAUACAAACAUAAGACCAGAAGACCCUGUGAAACUUUAACUAAACUAUUAAAUUAAAUAAUAGCUCCUUUAGGUUGGGGCGACCUUGGAAAAAAAAAGAACUUCCAAACACACAGUAUACAAUUAUACUGACCUAGGCCAACAAGCCAACAAUGACCCAGCAUAGCUGAUAACUGAACCAAGUUACUCCAGGGAUAACAGCGCUAUCUUCUUCAAGAGCCCAUAUCAAAAAGAAGGUUUACGACCUCGAUGUUGGAUCAGGACAUCCUAAUGGUGCAGCCGCUAUUAAGGGUUCGUUUGUUCAACGAUUAACAGUCCUACGUG
rnacentral:rRNA from 2 species